GCUUGGCCCUAAACCUCAGUAGUUAGAUAACAAAACUACUCGCCAGAAUACUACAAGCAACAGCUUAAAACUCAAAGGACUUGACGGUGCUUUACAUCCCCCUAGAGGAGCCUGUUCCGUAAUCGAUAAACCCCGAUCCACCCUACCCUCUCUUGCUCAGCCUAUAUACCGCCAUCUUCAGCAAACCCUAAUGAGGGCCACAAAGUGAGCGCAAACGCCGUCGCCGCGAAUACGUUAGGUCAAGGUGUAGCCCAUGAGACGGUAAAAAAUGGGCUACAUUUUCUAUUUCAGAAAACCCACGAAAACCCUUAUGAAACUUAAGGGUCCAAGGAGGAUUUAGCAGUAAAUUAAGAAUAGAGUGCUUAAUUGAACCAGGCCAUAAAGCGCG
rnacentral:rRNA from 1 species